rnacentral:rRNA from 1 species
CCUACGGGUGGCUGCAGUGGGGAAUAUUGGACAAUGGGGGAAACCCUGAUCCAGCAAUGCCGCGUGUGUGAAGAAGGCCUGCGGGUUGUAAAGCACUUGCGGUUGGGAAGAAAAGUUUGGCGCCAAUACCGCCGAACCUUGACGUUACUGACAGAAGAAGCACCGGCUAACUCUGUGCCAGCAGCCGCGGUAAGACAGAGGGUGCAAGCGGCAAUCGGAAUCACUGGGUGGUAAGCGUGGGCAGGUGGUCAAUCCCCGUGCUUGACCUGGGAACUGCAUUCGAUACUACAUGGCUAGAGUAUGGUAGAGGGAAGUGGAAUUUCCGGUGUAGCGGUGAAAUGCGUAGAUAUCGGAAGGAACACCAAUGGCGAAGGCAGCUUCCUGGACUAAUACUGACACUGAGGCACGAAAGCGUGGGUAGCAAACAGGAUUAGAUACCCGAGUAGUC